GGGAGUUGGUUUUACCUGAAGACGGUGCGCUAACCCGCAAGGGAGGCAGCCGGCCACGGUAGGGUCAGCGACUGGGGUGAAGUCGUAACAAGGUAGCCGUAGGGGAACCUGCGGCUGGAUCACCUCCUUUCUAAGGAUGAUCCUUCAGCGAGCUCACGCUCACUAUCGGAUCGUUUUAGAAACAUCAGUGGCCAACAGAUCGCCAGAUCGUUGAGCUGCAUUGGCGGGAUUUCGCCGUCUUCGUUUCUCUUUCUUCGCGGACGAACACGCGCUGGGCCUGCAUCAAGCAGGAUCCCACGGUCCCUGACGGGAUAUGCGUUAGGGGCUUGUAGCUCAGUUGGUUAGAGCGCGCGCUUGAUAAGCGUGAGGUCGGAAGUUCAAGUCUUCCCAGGCCCACCACUUUCAUCGAGUGAGCAUUCGUCUUCUGGUUACGGGGCCAUAGCUCAGCUGGGAGAGCGCGUGCUUUGCAAGCAUGAGGUCGUCGGUUCGAUCCCGUCUGGCUCCACCACGCUUCGCCUUUCAGGCUUCGCGUGGCGCAGCCAAGCACGGUCGAAGCGUGCCCGGCGUAGCUCACUUGAGCGUAGACGGGCUGGUUGAGAUCAGCCCGUAACCAUCACCGUCCGCGAAACAUCACUUCGCAUCCUGCUAGUCUGGAUAGACAGCAAGAUGCGUGUUUUUCUGACAUCGUAAAAGAGGAGAUCGAUCCGAGUUGGGUCGUGCAGCAGAUUGUUGCGCGAAUCCUUCAUUAUCUCCGGGAUCAUUUUCGGCGCUCGCUUUUUCUAAGGAUGAUCCUUCAGAGAGCUUCGGCUCACUAUCGGAUCGUUUUAGAAACAUCAGUGGCCAACAGAUCGCCAGAUCGUUGAGCUGCAUUGGCGGGAUUUCGCCGUCUUCGUUUCUCUUUCUUCGCGGACGAACACGCGCUGGGCCUGCUUGAAGCAGGAUCCCACGGUCCCUGACGGGAUAGGCGUUAGGGGCUUGUAGCUCAGUUGGUUAGAGCGCGCGCUUGAUAAGCGUGAGGUCGGAAGUUCAAGUCUUCCCAGGCCCACCACUUUCAUCGAGUGAGCAUUCGUCUUCUGGUUACGGGGCCAUAGCUCAGCUGGGAGAGCGCGUGCUUUGCAAGCAUGAGGUCGUCGGUUCGAUCCCGUCUGGCUCCACCAGAUGGUUUGAUCAUCGACACUGUGCACCGUCGUCCGCGAAACAUCACUUCGCAUCCUGCUAGUCUGGAUAGACAGCAAGAUGCGUGUUUUCUGACAUCGUAAAGAGGAGAUCGAUCCGAGUUGGGUCGUGUAGCAGAUUGCUGCGCGAGCCUUCAUUAUCUCCGGAUCAUUUUCGGCGCUCGACGCUGACCGCAAGGUUGGCUCUCGAGUUGUAAAAUGAUCCUUUUAGCGAAGCUUGACCGCCUCGCUAUCGGAACGAUCUUACGAAGCAAGCUGGUCUUUCUAGUCAAUGUCCGGCUGUACGUAGCAUUCAUCGAGGGUGCGCGCCGAAGAGGUUUCGAUCUCUUGGCAAUCGUAGAGACAACAUUCUGCCGAGUGUGUGGACAUUGAUAAUGAGAGCAAUCAAGUGCCUUAAGGGUGUUCGGUGGAUGCCUUGGCGCUGAGAGGCGAUGAAGGACGUGCUACGCUGCGAUAAGCCGUGGGGAGCUGCGAAGAAGCUUUGAUCCGCGGAUU
rnacentral:misc_RNA from 1 species